AAAAUGACGGGAAACACUCUUUUCCAUGUUCCUGAUUCCAUUGGCUGUUUCGAUAGGCUGUUUCGGCUAUGGAAAAUAGUUGUAUGGCCAUAGACGAGAAAGACCGGCACUGACUGUCGUGGAGAAAAACAUCCAAGAUACCUUUUCAGAAAACGGGAACCACCCUUUGGUAAAGCUCGUAGCUAACGAAAAGCUGAAAUCAGCUUUCAAGAAAAACAAAAGACUAGUUUCAUCGUAUACAGAAUCCGUCCUCGUCAAGGAAGCGUGUUCAGUGAUCAUGCACGAGGCGACUGGAUGUAGUUAUAAAGAGGCCACAGAGGCUCUGCAACGAACGGUGGCCAAAAGUUUUUUCACAGCAUAUAGCCUGGCAACAACUCACCGCUCGAGCAUAAAAGAAUAUUGGUCAAGCGCCCUAGCGGAUAGACGUAAAGCCUGGUGAACACAAAGACGCUAACAUCCUGCAGAAAAGUUCAACAUGGCUGACAACACCGUACGGUCGGAAGAUGUGUAAGGACAAAAGUGGGAUCGUUGCAUUACAGACACCGGUUUACUGUUAACUGUUGAGUUAUCGAUCCGGACAGAACUUAAGUGUGCACCACUGCAGUAUGAUGACAUUUAAGUUUUAUAGACUUUCAUGCAAUAGUUACUGUCACACAGCUCCGGACAUUGAAAGUGGAAGGACGGAGAACCACACAGAAACAAUAUCGGCGAAUGAUGAUGUAUAUUUGUUUUAAGUUUCGUGAAAUAGGUACUGUGAAACAGCUCCGGACGUACAACCUUCCUGAAUUUCAAUCUAUUAAGGGGCAAUAAAUUAAUUACGCGUGCACCGCAGUAUGAUUGAACACAUUCAUAUUAAGUUUAAUGAAAUUUAAUAAAUAAUUAUUGAUAAACACCUCCGGACAUCGCCAAAAUAAUAUUCCUUCACUGUCUUAGAGGGGUAAAAAGCCAUCAUAAGGGAGGUGUCAUUUUGUCUACUUACAAGAGUUGGUGCAUUCGGAUUAAAUGCGUAUUCUACAUGCAAUAAUAAAUGCAUGCAAAAAUAAAUAUCUUUCUUGCAACAAGCGUAAAUCUACUGCAAAUCUUAGCAAAACAUUUGCAAACGUAUGUGCGUGUGUAUAGUGACGCAAUCAUACGUUUUUCCAUAGAUAAUUUGUUUCUUAAUGACAAUAUGUUUGUAUUUGAUUAAUAAAAUACCUGGAUAUUAUA